AGAGUUUGAUCCUGGCUCAGGAUGAUUGCUAGCGGCAGGCUUAACACAUGCAAGUCGAGGGGCAGCGGGGAGGAGGCUUGCUUUCUCCGCCGGCGACCGGCGCACGGGUGAGUAACACGUAUGCAACCUGCCCCUGUCAGGGGGACAACCCGCCGAAAGGCGGGCUAAACCCGCGUACAUGCCACCGGGGCAUCCCGGAGGCAGGAAAGGCUUCGGCCGGACAGGGAUGGGCAUGCGGCGCAUUAGGCAGUAGGCGGGGUAACGGCCCACCUAACCGACGAUGCGUAGGGGUUCUGAGAGGAAGGUCCCCCACACUGGUACUGAGACACGGACCAGACUCCUACGGGAGGCAGCAGUGAGGAAUAUUGGUCAAUGGUCGGGAGACUGAACCAGCCAAGCCGCGUGAGGGAGGAAGGUACAGAGUAUCGUAAACCUCUUUUGUCAGGGAACAAAGGCGGGGACGUGUCCCCGGAUGAGUGUACCUGAAGAAAAAGCAUCGGCUAACUCCGUGCCAGCAGCCGCGGUAAUACGGAGGAUGCGAGCGUUAUCCGGAUUUAUUGGGUUUAAAGGGUGCGCAGGCGGUCUGUUAAGUCAGCGGUCAAAGCCCGGGGCUCAACCCCGGCCCGCCGUUGAAACUGGCAGUCUCGAGUUGGAGAGAAGUAUGCGGAAAUGCGCGGGGUAGCGGUGAAAUGCAUAAAUAUCGCCGCACAACUUCCAAUUGCGAAGGCAGCAUGCCGGCUCCACACUGACGCUGAGGCACGAAAGCGUGGGUAUCGAACAGGAUUAGAUACCCGGGUAGUCCACGCAGUAAACGAUGAAUGCUGGCUGUCCGGGGGGAUUGACCCCUGGGUGGCGAAGCGAAAGCGAUAAGCAUUCCACCUGGGGAGUACGCCGGCAACGGUGAAACUCAAAGGAAUUGACGGGGCCCGCACAAGCGGAGGAACAUGUGGUUUAAUUCGAUGAUACGCGAGGAACCUUACCCGGGCUCAAACGGGGAGUGACUCAGGCAGAGACGCCUGUUUCCCACGGGACACUCCCCGAGGUGCUGCAUGGUUGUCGUCAGCUCGUGCCGUGAGGUGUCGGCUUAAGUGCCAUAACGAGCGCAACCCCCGCGUGCAGUUGCUAACAGAUAACGCUGAGGACUCUGCACGGACUGCCGGCGCAAGCCGCGAGGAAGGCGGGGAUGACGUCAAAUCAGCACGGCCCUUACGUCCGGGGCGACACACGUGUUACAAUGGGUGGUACAGCGGGAAGCCAGGCGGCGACGCCGAGCGGAACCCGAAAUCCACUCUCAGUUCGGAUCGGAGUCUGCAACCCGACUCCGUGAAGCUGGAUUCGCUAGUAAUCGCGCAUCAGCCAUGGCGCGGUGAAUACGUUCCCGGGCCUUGCACUCAACGCCCGUCA
rnacentral:rRNA from 1 species